rnacentral:rRNA from 1 species
CUACAGAGGGUGCAAGCGUUAAUCGGAAUUACUGGGCGUAAAGCGCGCGUAGGCGGUUUGUUAAGUCGGAUGUGAAAUCCCCGGGCUCAACCUAGGAACUGCAUUCGAAACUGGCGAGCUAGAGUAUGGUAGAGGAUAGUGGAAUUCCGGGUGUAGCGGUGAAAUGCGUAGAUAUCCGGAGGAACAUCAGUGGCGAAGGCGGCUAUCUGGACCAAUACUGACGCUGAGGUGCGAAAGCGUGGGGAGCAAACAGGAUUAGAUACCCUAGUAGUCC